AGAGUUUGCUUUUGGCUCAGGACGAACGCUGGCGGCGCGCCUAACACAUGCAAGUCGAACGGUGAAGAGGAGCUUGCUCCUCGGAACAGUGGCGGACGGGUGAGUAACACGUGAGCAACCUGGCUCUAAGAGGGGGACAACAGUUGGAAACGACUGCUAAUACCGCAUAACGUAUCGGGAUGGCAUCUUCCUGAUACCAAAGAUUUUAUCGCUUAGAGAUGGGCUCGCGUCUGAUUAGAUAGUUGGCGGGGUAACGGCCCACCAAGUCGACGAUCAGUAGCCGGACUGAGAGGUUGAACGGCCACAUUGGGACUGAGACACGGCCCAGACUCCUACGGGAGGCAGCAGUGGGGGAUAUUGGACAAUGGGGGCAACCCUGAUCCAGCGACGCCGCGUGAGGGAAGAAGGUUUUCGGAUUGUAAACCUCUGUUGACGGAAAAAAAAAUGAUGGUAUCCGUUUAAAAAGCCACGGCUAACUAACGUGCCCGCAGCCGCGGUAAUACGUAGGUGGCAAGCGUUGUCCGGAAUUACUGGGUGUAAAGGGAGUGUAGGCGGGAUAUCAAGUCAGAAGUGAAAAUUACGGGCUCAACUCGUAACCUGCUUUUGAAACUGACAUUCUUGAGUGAAGUAGAGGCAAGCGGAAUUCCUAGUGUAGCGGUGAAAUGCGUAGAUAUUAGGAGGAACACCAGUGGCGAAGGCGGCUUGCUGGGCUUUUACUGACGCUGAGGCUCGAAAGCGUGGGGAGCAAAC
rnacentral:rRNA from 1 species